GUUAAAAUAUUUUAAAAUAUGGCGAAAUGGAUUAACCGGGGGCUUAAGUAUUUCAAACCCCCACCGAAAUAAAUUAACCCCUUUUUAUUUAGCGUUUAAUAAGCUUAUAAUAAAAUCCUAUAAUAUAAUCCUAUUGCUUUUCGCGACUUCGAAAGUUGUGAUAUGUAAUGUUCUCGAGGCUUCAAACUUAAAGAUCGAAGUAAAGGCAUUUGAUUUAAAUAAAAAGAUAAAGUCUAAAACUUAUCGUUUCAAGACCGAGAUUUUAAAACAUCAACAAAACAGAUCAUCAGAAAUAUCUACUAAAAAUCUAAAAAUUCAUCAGCAAUUGGUCUCUGAAUUUGUAGUCAGCGUGUUAAAUGCUUGCGCAUAUUGUCUUCCUGGUAAUAAAAAUUAUCAGUUCCUAUAGCCGACUUAAUGGCAAAUGCAGCUGUAAAAAAUCUGCAGUCACAUGUUAGAUUGGUGCUGAACAGGUAAAACUUUUAUGGUAAGGUUUCCACUUCGAUCUAUAAAUCUUGCGUAUAAUUGUCGCAUUUGGCGUCGGAUAUACUCCGAAAUUGAUUUACCCGGGCUGUCUGCAUAAUAAAUAUUUCCAUCAAAACAUGCUGUACGUACCCAGUGAUUCAAAUCAUGCAAAAUUUGGAUUGAACCAUACCGCAAAACUUUAAACCCAUCUUUUCCUUGCGAAAGUAGUGUUGACUGACAAGGAUCUUCAUUAGCCAAGUGAAGGCUAUUAUAGUUAUCAAAAUUAUUAUCGGUACUAGAUGUUACAUCGCAAGUAGGAGAAUAAAUACCGCGUUAAAGACGAGUUUGUGGUCAGCCUUGGUAUUAUUACGAACAUUUUUAUUGUAUGGGGGAGUAGGAAAAUAAAUAAAAUUGUAGGACAAUGUUAUUAUUUCUUGAAUAUAAAACGCAAAUAUUUUUGUAAA
rnacentral:lncRNA from 1 species